CAUAAAUAAUCUUCCAAAUAUGUUAGUUAUCUGAAUUCUAUACCCAUUUCAAGGAAGAAGAAAGAGUUUUACAUGGUAAUGGGGAAAAGGAUGAGGAUGUGGGAAGAAUCAAUAGUUUGAAAGAAUUGAAAGAGAGCCCUCAGUUCUCUGCUUUAUUUUAUUUUAUUUUUUUAAAUCUAGGAUAAAUAUGUAGGUAAGACAUGAGUCAGAGCAAACUCAGAAAGUACCUAGAAGCCUUCAGCAUUUGAAGCAGGCUCGCUAGUUUCAUGUGGGUGAAGUUUGGUUUUCAGGAAGACAAAUUGAAAAUAGAACUUGUUUGUUUAGAUUUUGCCAUUCUCUAGGGACGUCCAAGGAUGUUCAAUGAACUGAGAGGGGAAGAAUUGGUUCUUGGGAACUGCUGCAGGGAGCCUUGUUUGGAGAGAGUAUGGCCCUGGAGUGGACCCUCAGCACAUUGCAGUUUUUCUCUGGACCUAGUCUGGGAAGACAUGGUCUUAGCAAAGUCACUGGCAGGGAGGCCAAGUGGAGUCAAUAAACAGUCAAUUACCACUCUAGACAUCUCCACUGAGUGCUUUGAUGGGUGUGUUUCAAAGGAACCAGGAGAUCGGUCUUGGAGCUCAAAGGGUCACAAGCAGUUGCUGUCACAACUGAGCAACUUCUUUUUUCUUGGUGAGAAAGAUUGGCUCUGAACUAACAUCCAUUGCCAAUCUUCCUCUUUUUGCUUGAGGAAGAUUGCCGCUAAGCUAACAUCAAUGCCUGUCUUCCUCUAUUUUGUAUGUGGGACACUGCCACCACAUGGCUUGAUGAGCAGUGUGUAGGUCCGCACCCAGGAUCCAAACCUGCCAACCCCAGGUCACCAAAGCAGAAUGCACGAACUUAACCGCUACACCACUGGGCUAGCCCCUUCUGAGAGCAACUUCUGAGAGUCACUAAAUAAGGGAAUGCAUGUGCCAAGCUUCCUAGGGAAGAAGAUUCCGACUAAACAAGCCUGGGCCCAGCAGGAGAUCUGGCAUUGCAAAAACAGCUAUCUUCUUUACCAACAAAAGAACUGCUACCUGAUUCACCUCCUUAAAUUUGGCAUACCAUCAGAAAUAAUGAAAACCUUACCAGCCUCCACUACCAGCCAUACCCCGUAACAUCCAGCACUACAUAC
rnacentral:lncRNA from 1 species